rnacentral:rRNA from 1 species
GACGAACGCUGGCGGCGUGCCUAAUACAUGCAAGUCGAGCGGACGGAUGGGAGCUUGCUCCCAGACCGUCAGCGGCGGACGGGUGAGUAACACGUGGGCAACCUGCCUGUAAGACUGGGAUAACUCCGGGAAACCGGGGCUAAUACCGGAUAACUCUUUCCCUCACCUGAGGGAAAGCUGAAAGAUGGCAUCUCGCUAUCACUUACAGAUGGGCCCGCGGCGCAUUAGCUAGUUGGUGAGGUAACGGCUCACCAGGGCGACGAUGCGUAGCCGACCUGAGAGGGUGAUCGGCCACACUGGGACUGAGACACGGCCCAGACUCCUACGGGAGGCAGCAGUAGGGAAUCUUCCGCAAUGGACGAAAGUCUGACGGAGCAACGCCGCGUGAGUGAUGAAGGUUUUCGGAUCGUAAAACUCUGUUGUCAGGGAAGAACAAGUACCGGAGUAACUGCCGGUACCUUGACGGUACCUGACCAGAAAGCCACGGCUAACUACGUG